CAGCAGCCGCGGUAAUACGAAGGGGGCUAGCGUUGUUCGGAAUUACUGGGCGUAAAGGGCGCGUAGGCGGCCAUUCAAGUUAGAUGUGAAAGCCCUGGGCUCAACCUGGGGGCUGCGUUUGAUACUUGGUUGCUUGAGUGGGGAAGAGGGUCGUGGAAUUCCCAGUGUAGAGGUGAAAUUCGUAGAUAUUGGGAAGAACACCGGUGGCGAAGGCGGCGACCUGGUCCUUUACUGACGCUGAGGCGCGAAAGCGUGGGGAGCAAACAGGAUUAGAUACCCCCGUAGUCCCUGUCUCUUAUAC
rnacentral:rRNA from 1 species